CCUACGGGUGGCAGCAGUGGGGAAUAUUGGACAAUGGGGGGAACCCUGACCCAGCGACGCCGCGUGAGUGAAGAAGUAUUUCGGUAUGUAAACCUCUAUCAGCAGGGAAGAAAGAAAUGACGGUACCUGACGAAGAAGCCCCGGCUAACUACGUGCCAGCAGCCGCGGUAAUACGUAGGGGGCAAGCGUUAUCCGGAUUUACUGGGUGUAAAGGGAGCGUAGACGGCGGUGCAAGUCUGAGGUGAAAGCCGAGGGCUCAACCCCGGGACUGCAUUGGAAACUGUCUGGCUGGAGUGCAGGAGAGGCAAGUGGAAUUCCGGGUGUAGCGGUGAAAUGCGUAGAUAUAAGGAGGAACACCAGUGGCGAAGGCGGCUCGCUGGACAGUAACUGACGUUGAGGCGCGAAAGCGUGGGGAGCAAACAGGAUUAGAUACCCGGGUAGUC
rnacentral:rRNA from 1 species